AUUGAACGCUGGCGGAAUGCUUUACACAUGCAAGUCGAACGGCAGCACGGGGCAACCUGGUGGCGAGUGGCGAACGGGUGAGUAAUACAUCGGAACGUGCCCAAUCGUGGGGGAUAACGUAGCGAAAGUUACGCUAAUACCGCAUACGAUCUACGGAUGAAAGCGGGGGAUCGCAAGACCUCGCGCGAAUGGAGCGGCCGAUGUCAGAUUAGGUAGUUGGUGGGGUAAAGGCUCACCAAGCCAACGAUCUGUAGCUGGUCUGAGAGGACGACCAGCCACACUGGAGCUGAGACACGGUCCAGACUCCUACGGGAGGCAGCAGUGGGGAAUUUUGGACAAUGGGCGCAAGCCUGAUCCAGCCAUUCCGCGUGCAGGAUGAAGGCCUUCGGGUUGUAAACUGCUUUUGUACGGAACGAAACGGUCUGCCCUAAUACGGCGGGCUAAUGACGGUACCGUAAGAAUAAGCACCGGCUAACUACGUG
rnacentral:rRNA from 1 species